UACAGAGGUCCCGAGCGUCGUUCGGAUUCAUUGGGCGUAAAGGGUGCGUAGGUGGCGCUGUAAGUGGGGUGUGAAAUCCCGGGGCUUAACUCCGGAACUGCAUUCCAUACUGCGGUGCUUGAGGACUGGAGAGGAGACUGGAAUUUACGGUGUAGCAGUGAAAUGCGUAGAGAUCGUAAGGAAGACCAGUGGCGAAGGCGGGUCUCUGGACAGUUCCUGACACUGAGGCACGAAGGCCAGGGGAGCAAACGGG
rnacentral:rRNA from 1 species